rnacentral:rRNA from 1 species
GACGAACGCUGGCGGCGUGCCUAAUACAUGCAAGUAGAACGCACAGUUUAUACCGUAGCUUGCUACACCAUAGACUGUGAGUUGCGAACGGGUGAGUAACGCGUAGGUAACCUGCCUGGUAGCGGGGGAUAACUAUUGGAAACGAUAGCUAAUACCGCAUAAUAUUGAUUAUUGCAUGAUAAUUGAUUGAAAGAUGCUAUUGCAUCACUACCAGAUGGACCUGCGUUGUAUUAGCUAGUAGGUGAGGUAACGGCUCACCUAGGCGACGAUACAUAGCCGACCUGAGAGGGUGAUCGGCCACACUGGGACUGAGACACGGCCCAGACUCCUACGGGAGGCAGCAGGAGGGAAUCUUCGGCAAUGGACGAAAGUCUGACCGAGCAACGCCGCGGGAGUGAAGAAGGUUGUCGGAUCGUAAAGCUCUGUUGUAAGAGAGGAACGGGUGUGAGAGUGGAAAGUCCACACUGUGACGGUAUCUUACCAGAAAGGGACGGCUAACUACGUG